CUUGGUCAUUUAGAGGAAGUAAAAGUCGUAACAAGGUUUCCGUAGGUGAACCUGCGGAAGGAUCAUUAGUGAACGCCCUCACGGGCUUAUAACUAUUCCAAACCUCUGUGAACCGUGCCCUUCGGGGCUAUUUUACAAACAUGGUGUAAUGAACGUCAUAUAUCAUAACAAAACAAAACUUUCAACAACGGAUCUCUUGGCUCUCGCAUCGAUGAAGAACGCAGCGAAAUGCGAUAAGUAAUGUGAAUUGCAGAAUUCAGUGAAUCAUCGAAUAUUUGAACGCACCUUGCGCCCUCUGGUAUUCCGGAGGGCAUGCCUGUUUGAGUGUCAUGUAGACUCAAUCCCUCGGGUUUCCGAGGAGAUUGGACUUGGGUGUUGCCGCUCUGCCGGCCCGCCUUAAAAGACUUAGCGGGAUAGCACCGUAGUCGGCGUAAUAAGUUUCGUCGGUGAAGGUUGUGAUGACUGCUUACAAUCGCCCUCGGGCAAUUUUUGACUCUGACCUCAAAUCAGGUAGGACUACCCGCUGAACUUAAGCAUAUCAAUAAGCGGAGGAA
rnacentral:rRNA from 1 species